rnacentral:lncRNA from 1 species
GCCCAAUGGGCCGCUGAGCCCUAGAGAGCUGGACCGGGCAGGCCUGGCAUGCAGAGGGAGCACCGCAGCUGACCAGUGACUGCCCGGGAGGUCCUGGCUUCCCUGAGCGCCAACUGCAUCAUCCAUGGCAGGUCAUGAGCCUAGCCCUGUGUGUCAUCGUGAAAGUGCUCUCAAGGCCAGCACAUGGGGUCUCACAGGGCCCCUGUCCCCUGGGUCCCGGCCUUAGGGUGCAUAUUUCCACUCACAGUCUCACCUAAUCUCUCAUCUGCUGAAUCAGGGAGCCUGCAUUAUUAGCUCCAUUUUACAGAUAAGAAAAGUGAGGGACACUGAGGUUAUGUCGCUUGCCACACAGCUAGUCAUUGGAGAUGGCUACAACUGAGCCCAGAUCUGCUGACCCCAAGCUCUACGUCUUAGCUUAGAGGCAUUGGUCUCUCCAAGGGUGCAGAUGCGACUGAGAACCUGCCAGGGGUCUGUAUCUCCCUGAGACGGAGUCCCUCCUUUCACACCUCAUGGCUGGGGUCUGGUCCUGGGCAGAGGGCAAGGCAAGGCCAUUUCCAGUUUUGCGGCUUCUCUUAUGUUCAUGAAGAAAAAGAAGCACCAGAUCAAGUUUCUAUCACCGUGAUAUAUCUCGUAUAAAUAGCUUUAACAGAUAAACACUUUGAACACACACACAACUGUGCAAAUUUACUGUGCCAGGGCAAUUAGCAUAUUCAUCUUUAAAAAUCAGUUUAUAGGUCACUGAAGACAGCCUGGGCUGACGGCGGAACACAAGGUUCAAGGUGGAGAAUUGCCAGCCCCUGCCUCAGCCCUGCUCUGUGACGGCGUUUACAGGGAGGGUCAGAGGAGGACAUGUGAGGCUCUUGUCCUUGUGAAGGGAGAGG